rnacentral:rRNA from 1 species
ACAGGGAUUACCUCAGUAACGGCGAGUGAAGCGGUAACAGCUCAAAUUUGAAAUCUGGCUCUUUUAGGGUCCGAGUUGUAAUUUGUAGAAGAUGCUUCGGGUGUGGCUCCGGUCUAAGUUCCUUGGAACAGGACGUCAUAGAGGGUGAGAAUCCCGUAUGUGACUGGUUGCCUUCGCCCAUGUGAAGCUCUUUCGACGAGUCGAGUUGUUUGGGAAUGCAGCUCUAAAUGGGAGGUAAAUUUCUUCUAAAGCUAAAUAUUGGCCAGAGACCGAUAGCGCACAAGUAGAGUGAUCGAAAGAUGAAAAGCACUUUGGAAAGAGAGUUAAACAGUACGUGAAAUUGUUGAAAGGGAAGCGCUUGCAACCAGACUUGCCCGCCGUCGAUCAUCCUCCGUUCUCGGGGGUGCACUCGGCGGUGGUCAGGCCAGCAUCGGUUUCGGUGGUGGGAUAAAGGCCUUGGGAAUGUGGCUCCUCUCGGGGAGUGUUAUAGCCCUCGGUGCAAUGCCGCCUACCGGGACCGAGGACCGCGCUUCGGCUAGGAUGCUGGCGUAAUGGUUGUAAGCGACCCGUCUUGAAACACGGACCAAGGAGUCUAACAUCUAUGCGAGUGUUUGGGUGUUAAACCCAUACGCGUAAUGAAAGUGAACGGAGGUGAGAACCCGUUAGGGGGCAUCAUCGACCGAUCCUGAAGUCUUCGGAUGGAUUUGAGUAAGAGCAUAGCUGUUGGGACCCGAAAGAUGGUGAACUAUGCCUAAAUAGGGUGAAGCCAGAGGAAACUCUGGUGGAGGCUCGCAGCGGUUCUGACGUGCAAAUCGAUCGUCAAAUUUGGGUAUAGGGGCGAAAGACUAAUC